ACUUGGAAUUUUACAUAUGGAAAUACUAUAAAAGGUUAAGGGCAAAGGUGGAAUUUCAACUUGGAAAUAUUAGGAAAGGUGAGGGGCAAAAUGGAAAUUUCACAUGGGAGCCUUAGUCAUAAAAUCCUAGAAUUCUCUACACAAUUUGAGAAAGAAGAAGAGCAAAGGAAAGAAGAGAAAUCAAGAGAGAAAAUCGGACAAGAAGACCAAAAAAUUACCCCUUCAAAUUUCAUCCCAAAAAUUAUAAUUUUCUAGUAUUCCUACUAAGUCAAGGGUGCUCUACAACAUGGUGUAGUUUUUUUGGAAGAUAGGAGGCUUGUUUGGUUGAUUUGAAGCUUUGGUAAAGUGAAGAAGUUGGAAGGAAAAGAUUUUGGAGAAAACGGAAAUUGAACUUGGACAACCGUAAAAGGCCAAAAAGGUACCGAAGUUCGAUUUGCUGAUCCACCUGUUUAGGAUAUUUGCUGCGUCGUUGACAGUGCUCCCUUGUUCGGAGCUUGUAUUUUGGUACUGACUUUAUCUCUGUAUAUUUGGAUAUGUUGGUCAGGGGUACGACGGGGCCUUGUCUCGUCAUAUGACUAUACUAUCAUCUGUAGAGGUCUGUAGACAGAGUUAUAUCGUGG